CGUGACGUUGCAGCAGAGAAUCGGCCUCUGAAAUGAGGACUCCCACCACCGCCUCCUCCAAACGAAGUUGCCCUAUUGGCUACUGAGCCAGGACGGGACGAAAGCGGCCGAACCUGAAACCCAGCAGAGCCGAAAUAGCUGAGCGACCGAACCGGGCAGCCCAUCUCUCUGCAUAUUUGCCAUGUGGGUUUUCACCCCUCCUCACGAUCUCGGCCCAAGUUCCACUGGGUUUUUUUAGGGGGGGGGGAAUACCCGAACACGCACCGAUGACCUUAUAAAGCCACAGGCAGACGAGCCUCUCGAAUCCUGUGCCCCCUCCUCCCGUUUUGACACGAGCAAGGAACACUUCCUCCCCGGGGCACCGCGUGGAAAACGCGCUUCACUUUCUCCAGGUUGAGCAGAUCCUGGAGGCGAGCGAAAGCGGCGGCGGCGCCAACGGGCUCCGGCAGCGCUGAAUCGCCUCCUUCUCCGCGGCUCGCAGGGGAGGAUCCGACCUGCCGCCCGCCCGCUCCCGGGGCAGCCCCGCUGGCAACGCCUUGAACGCUCGGAGGAAAAGACGCGCCUUCAGUUCAGCCCCGCCAAAGGGCUGGAGCCGAAACUUCUUCCCUAAAGAUCUCUCAGAAGUUUGCAGAAAGAACUUGACUGGGCUAAUAUUGGAUCUGCAUAAUUGCCUCCUCUAACAAGCCAGAGGGAAGAUGGCACCCACCUUGCAUCAGGCAUACCGGCGACGCUGGUGGAUGGCCUGUACUGCGGUAGUGGAAAAUCUCUUUUUCUCUGCGGUUUUGCUGGGCUGGGGCUCCUUACUCAUUAUGUUCAAACUUGAAGGCUUCUACUCCCAUAUGUGCACAGGUGAG